rnacentral:lncRNA from 1 species
CCCCCUCAAAACUGUCCCCCUCAUUCACCCUCAUCAGAGGCCCAAUCCCAAAACCCUAGAGCUGCCCUAAAAGCCUCAUCUCAUCUGGUGGCGGCGCCAGCUCCAUUCACCAACAAAUGAAUACCCUAGUAUCUCCUCACUCUCCACACCCCCAAUCCACAAUCAAGUUCCUUCGAACAUGCCCAUAACCCUUCGAAUAUGGGUCUAAAACCAAGAACCCCAGCGCCACCCAACUUUUCACGGUGGCGGCGCCACCCCAAACCCAACCAAAAUAACACCAGAUAAUCACCAAAAGACCCUAUACCCUAAUCCAUGGUCAGUUACCCACGAAUCAUCUUCAAACUCUUCUAAAUCCCAGAUCACAGUCGGCCCCUAAUGUAAAAACUGAGUCUCUACUUUGUCCUUUGUCUAAAAUGAUUUUAUUCAUUCGUUCUCUAUUAGGACAUACGAUUAAUAUCAUGUUUAAACCGGGCAUUCAAAGUUUGGGGGUUUUGAGCUUCCUUUUAUUUUUUUCUUGGUCUGGAUAAUAGUAAGUUUUCUUUUCUCUCUGUUUGUUUUAAGUAAUUAGUUAAUUAAUUUUUUCCUUUCUUAAUUAUCUUGCUAUCUCUGUUUACCCUUAUUUUUCUCUUGGCUUGGUUUCUGCAUGUGACUGUUUCAAAUAAUAUUUAGUUUUGUUUAUCUCCUGGUUUAGUCGGGUCGUCCCUGUUAAUCACUCAUCACUAAGGGCUGAGUUGAUUUUGUGAUGGUCAGAAUUUUCGAGUUUUUUUUGGGUCGUUUGGGCCUCAUUUUUGAUUGUGAAGUUAUCCGUAGACCCAAUAGUGAAUUCAUUUGUGUCCAUUCAGACCCAUUAAAUUGGGUCGUGUGGCCCAGACCCUUAAUUGUUAGACUUAGGUAAUUUCAGGGGGGUUGGAGGGGUAAUACACUUAGGGAAUCUUUAGUAACUGAUUGUAGAAGUCUCUAGUAGGAGUUCUGUGGGGAUUUCAUAGUUCUGGCUAUUUAAACUUGGGCACCAAGUUAUUAAUUGGAGGACUAGAUAUCAAAAAGGAAAAGUGAACCUAUAUAAGGUAAUAUUCUUGCCUUUGAAGGCAAGACUUGGAGAUUUAAAAAUCUGGAAAAAAUACGGCUGGAAAUUCUUGACUAUUGCAUUGAAUUUAAUAUCUUUUGAUAAUAAAUCUAACUCACUAAAAUAUCUUUUUAAUUUACUAAGUGUGUGAGAUGGUGUGAGUUAAAAUACCAGCUGGGUUAGAAGUUUGGUGCUGGAGUUACUGUUCCAUUGGGUUUUUAUUUUCUGAGAUUUAUUUUGGUGCGAGCUUGUUUGAAUAUUGCAAUAUGUGGGGCUGUAUUCUCUAUUCUGGUAUCGAUUUUGGGUGUUGUUUGUUUCCUCCUGCUGAAACUCACUUCUUCUUACUCUUAUUUCCAGGUAUCUUCCUAGGCUAAUGAACUGUUCUUAAAUGUUGAUCUUGUCAUCCAAUGACUAUGGUGGAAUACAAAGUGCGUUUCAACUCAACUAUUUCUCUAGCUCUUCUUUGUUUUCUAUUAUAUGUGAGCCUACAAUAUUAGGCACUAGAUGAGUUGAUUUAGCAUGCUGUAGAUUUGGUUCUGAGUUUGUGUUUUAACAUUAGGCUUCAUCUAUUGAGCAGCAUGAUUAGUGAAUAUGGAUAAAUUUGUAGAUGAAGUUUCUUGUAUAAACAAGUCAUGGACUUUAACUUGUAGUUCUACUUUGAUUUUAUGUUGAAUGACAAGUCUCAUCGUGUUUCUGUUGGGGCAUAAUGGUUUGGUUUUUGCAAAUUCAUCCGGAUUCGUCGAAUUGCUGAAUGAGGGUUGUAGGUUAUUAUUAAGUUUGCUCAGGUUCUGAUUCAAAUGAAUUGGCUCUAUGGAAGUUGGAGUUUAGAUUAAUUUCGAGUUUUGUAAUGGGUAGUAAGCAUGAUGAUCGAACAGUUGUUGAUUUGGAUCCUUAGUCUAAGUGUUUAUCUGGUCACUUUAUUUGAGCAAUUGGAAACAGAGACUGGAAUACAUGCAAAUGGUGUUUGGAUUUUUAUAAUCAAGCAUUUUAUAUUGCUAAGCCACUUUGUGUUCUUGAUGAUAGCUACUGAUUAUAAAAUUAACAUCUAUGUGGAAACAACCAAGUUUCAAUGAGUGGUUAGUGAUUUGUAUAUGCAUUGUGAAUUUGACUAACAACUUUGGGGAAUUAAUUCGAGUAUGUUAAAAGGAGUUGAUCCAGCGGGGUGCAUUGGGCCAUGGGGUUGACGUUUGGGCCCAAGGUUUAAAGUGGCGUGUCCUGUUCCAUCGAUUAAUGAAAUUUGGGCUCACCUUGGGCAUAGAUGCUCCAUUACUGUCGAGUUCAGCUCAUUGCGCUAACACUUGGAGUAGUUAUAAUCUUAGUAGCAUUUAAUCGACUCAUUCAUUCCCUAGACCGGAGGUUGCCAUAUUGAUCCAAUUGAAUAAGUUAUGGCCUUCCCAAAUUAAUGUAGAAGUCUUUAAUUAGAAUAGAUUGAGGUGCACCGCGCCGAACAAAAAUGAUAAAUGCGUGGCCCUCAUAUAAUUAUGUCUUUAAAAUAUUUAGAACUUGAGGUGUGCCAUCUAGCUAAUUUCAUGGCCCUCAUAAAGUUAAACAACAUGUUAUUUUCUUUAGGCACGUACUUUAAUAAUCUACCUUCCUAAACCCGGGUGCGUAUUUAUGUGACCAAAAUCAAAUCUCAAUGACGUUGCAAUUCUCCUUUCAAAAUAACAAAUAAAAGCGAUUAAAAAGGUAAAAUCUGCACAUAGGUUCAAUAUUGUUUAAAAUCAAAUAAACAAGUCGAAUAUGACAGUUGAGCGACUAUGCUAGAACUAUAGAAUCCGGAAUGCCUAACACCUUCUUCCGGGUUAACAAAAUUUAUUACUCGGAUUUCUGGUCGCGGACUGUUAAACAGAAUCAAUAAUUUCCUCGAUUCGGGAUUCAAUUGGUGACUUGGGACACCCUAAAUCUCCCAAGUGGAGACUCUGAAUCUUCUAAUACAAAUCCCAUUUCGAUUGUCCUUUAAUUGAAAAAUUCUUUUACGCCCUUGCAGGGUGUAGAAAACAAGGAGGUGUGACAGCUCUGGCGACUCUGCUGGGGACAUGAACCCAAAACUUUUGGUUCAGGGUUCAGGAAUUCGAGCUUAGAAUAAUUGUUGUAUUUGACUUUGUUUUUGUUAUCUGAUUUUAUUACAUGUUUGGGCCUAAUGUGCUAAGUGAUGCUUUUUACCUCUUGGAUAUUAUUUGAACUGUACAUAUAAACUGU